AAGGAUCAUUAACCUUUCAAAAAACAGGGUGCGUCGCGGCCCCCCUCCGGGGGCGGUUUGGGGUCCUCCCCUUCACGCGCGCACGACUGCAUCCUUACUUUACGAGCACCUUCUGUUCUCCCUCGGCGGGGCAACCUGCCGUUGGAACCGAAUAAACCCUUUUUUGCAUCCAGCAUUACCCGUUCCGAAACAAACAAUCGUUACAACUUUCAACAAUGGAUCUCUUGGCUCUG
rnacentral:misc_RNA from 1 species